UGCAGUCGACGCGUUGGCCCAAUUGAUUGAUGGUGCUUGCACCUGAUUGAUUUUGGUCGCCAACGAGUGGCGGACGGGUGAGUAACACGUAGGUAACCUGCCCAGAAGCGGGGGACAACAUUUGGAAACAGAUGCUAAUACCGCAUAACAGCGUUGUUCGCAUGAACAACGCUUAAAAGAUGGCUUCUCGCUAUCACUUCUGGAUGGACCUGCGGUGCAUUAGCUUGUUGGUGGGGUAACGGCCUACCAAGGCGAUGAUGCAUAGCCGAGUUGAGAGACUGAUCGGCCACAAUGGGACUGAGACACGGCCCAUACUCCUACGGGAGGCAGCAGUAGGGAAUCUUCCACAAUGGGCGCAAGCCUGAUGGAGCAACACCGCGUGAGUGAAGAAGGGUUUCGGCUCGUAAAGCUCUGUUGUUAAAGAAGAACACGUAUGAGAGUAACUGUUCAUACGUUGACGGUAUUUAACCAGAAAGUCACGGCUAACUACGUGCCAGCAGCCGCGGUAAUACGUAGGUGGCAAGCGUUAUCCGGAUUUAUUGGGCGUAAAGAGAGUGCAGGCGGUUUUCUAAGUCUGAUGUGAAAGCCUUCGGCUUAACCGGAGAAGUGCAUCGGAAACUGGAUAACUUGAGUGCAGAAGAGGGUAGUGGAACUCCAUGUGUAGCGGUGGAAUGCGUAGAUAUAUGGAAGAACACCAGUGGCGAAGGCGGCUACCUGGUCUGCAACUGACGCUGAGACUCGAAAGCAUGGGUAGCGAACAGGAUUAGAUACCCUGGUAGUCCAUGCCGUAAACGAUGAGUGCUAGGUGUUGGAGGGUUUCCGCCCUUCAGUGCCGGAGCUAACGCAUUAAGCACUCCGCCUGGGGAGUACGACCGCAAGGUUGAAACUCAAAGGAAUUGACGGGGGCCCGCACAAGCGGUGGAGCAUGUGGUUUAAUUCGAAGCUACGCGAAGAACCUUACCAGGUCUUGACAUCUUGCGCCAACCCUAGAGAUAGGGCGUUUCCUUCGGGAACGCAAUGACAGGUGGUGCAUGGUCGUCGUCAGCUCGUGUCGUGAGAUGUUGGGUUAAGUCCCGCAACGAGCGCAACCCUUGUUACUAGUUGCCAGCAUUAAGUUGGGCACUCUAGUGAGACUGCCGGUGACAAACCGGAGGAAGGUGGGGACGACGUCAGAUCAUCAUGCCCCUUAUGACCUGGGCUACACACGUGCUACAAUGGACGGUACAACGAGUCGCGAACUCGCGAGGGCAAGCAAAUCUCUUAAAACCGUUCUCAGUUCGGACUGCAGGCUGCAACUCGCCUGCACGAAGUCGGAAUCGCUAGUAAUCGCGGAUCAGCAUGCCGCGGUGAAUACGUUCCCGGGCCUUGUACACACCGCCCGUCACACCAUGAGAGUUUGUAACACCCAAAGUCGGUGGGGUAACCUUUAGGAGCC
rnacentral:rRNA from 2 species